AAAAGACCAAUUCUGAUGUGAAUCUAGAGACAGAAGUCUGGUAGAUGCAAAAAGAAUACGUUCCAAAAACUUUAGUGAAUAUGAAAGAAUGCUACUAAAGCAAAUUGUGUCCAACCCUCCAAUUAUAGAAAGUAAAAAACAUACUACUGCUACAAAGAAAAAGAGUGGUUGGGCUGUAAUUUGUAGUGAAUUCAAUGCCAAUGAAAAUGUCACAACAAGAACAGUACAGCAACUUCAGACUGUGGAAGAACCUUAAACUGGCUUUAAAAAGCUUGAACGCAGAGGCCAGAAGAGAUGUAAGACUGGUGGAGGACCAAACACAAACAACACCAAUGAAUUUGGUGACUUGCUGUCUGGAAUUAAAGAGCACUAGCGACCUCUGGGUGGUGUACCAGACGAUGACCAUGUAGAAAGUUCAGAAGACCUGACCACAAAUGAGGAAAGGAAUCUAAACAGGCUGGAAAAGCCAGGGCACAGUGAGUGUGUGUGCCAUCCACAUCUGCUGGGUUAACCCUAACCCUGACCACCACCUUUCGGCAGAGAACAAGAUGACCAUGCAUGAAAAGCCAAUCACUCCUGGGAAGUGGCCAUAUUCAUAGAACUGCAUUUAUUUGUUUGCUUGGGCAGCAGCAUCAGGGAACUUUAUAUAAAUACUCCUCACUUCGCAAAUGGCCUUGCAGACUUUGUGAACUAUUCUACAAAUAGUUGCUUCACUGACGUCACACAAAUCACCAGCUUCCCGAUGAAAAGUUCCAGUUGCCAAAAAACUUGGUGCGAAGUGGGUAAAGGCCUUCCUCUUUGAUACGAGGAGGAAAGGCCUUCAGGGGUCUUCAAUGUUUUCCAGGCCAAGGACCCCCAAACUGGUGUAGCAUGCAGCAGGGAACCCCUACUGCAACGGUAUUCAAACGAGGGGCGGGGGCUGCUGUCCGAGUUGUGUGCGACAGGGGGAUGUGAAUGUGCAAAUUAAAAAACACAUUAUUGUUAUAGAAUAUUUGCUUUAUCUACAAACAGUUUUGCGACCCCCCUGCAGUACCCAUAAAUCUUCAACAGGGGGUCACGGACUCAAACAAAUAUAUUAUUUGCAAUGCAUUUUCUUUGUACAUUCUAAAGCGGUCUGGAAAAGUUAUUUCAU
ensembl:lncRNA